rnacentral:rRNA from 1 species
GACGAACGCUGGCGGCGUGCUUAACACAUGCAAGUCGAACGGAAAGGCCCUGCUUUUGUGGGGUGCUCGAGUGGCGAACGGGUGAGUAACACGUGAGUAACCUGCCCUUGACUUUGGGAUAACUUCAGGAAACUGGGGCUAAUACCGGAUAGGAGCUCCUGCUGCAUGGUGGGGGUUGGAAAGUUUCGGCGGUUGGGGAUGGACUCGCGGCUUAUCAGCUUGUUGGUGGGGUAGUGGCUUACCAAGGCUUUGACGGGUAGCCGGCCUGAGAGGGUGACCGGCCACAUUGGGACUGAGAUACGGCCCAGACUCCUACGGGAGGCAGCAGUGGGGAAUAUUGCACAAUGGGCGGAAGCCUGAUGCAGCAACGCCGCGUGCGGGAUGACGGCCUUCGGGUUGUAAACCGCUUUCGCCUGUGACGAAGCGUGAGUGACGGUAAUGGGUAAAGAAGCACCGGCUAACUACGUGCCAGCAGCCGCGGUGAUACGUAGGGUGCGAGCGUUGUCCGGAUUUAUUGGGCGUAAAGGGCUCGUAGGUGGUUGAUCGCGUCGGAAGUGUAAUCUUGGGGCUUAACCCUGAGCGUGCUUUCGAUACGGGUUGACUUGAGGAAAGUUAGGGGAGAAUGGAAUUCCUGGUGGAGCGGUGGAAUGCGCAGAUAUCAGGAGGAACACCAGUGGCGAAGGCGGUUCUCUGGGCCUUUCCUGACGCUGAGGAGCGAAAGCGUGGGGAGCGAACAGGCUUAGAUACCCUGGUAGUCCACGCUGUAAACGGUGGGUACUAGGUGUGGGGUCCAUUCCACGGGUUCCGUGCCGUAGCUAACGCUUUAAGUACCCCGCCUGGGGAGUACGGCCGCAAGGCUAAAACUCAAAGGAAUUGACGGGGCCCCGCACAAGCGGCGGAGCAUGCGGAUUAAUUCGAUGCAACGCGUAGAACCUUACCUGGGUUUGACAUGGAUCGGGAGUGCUCAGAGAUGGGUGUGCCUCUUUUGGGGUCGGUUCACAGGUGGUGCAUGCCUGUCGUCAGCUCGUGUCGUGAGAUGUUGGGUUAAGUCCCGCAACGAGCGCAACCCUUGUUCACUGUUGCCAGCACGUUAUGGUGGGGACUCAGUGGAGACCGCCGGGGUCAACUCGGAGGAAGGUGGGGAUGACGUCAAGUCCUCAUGCCCCUUAUGUCCAGGGCUUCACGCAUGCUACAAUGGCUGGUACAGAGAGUGGCGAGCCUGUGAGGGUGAGCGAAUCUCGGAAAGCCGGUCUCAGUUCGGAUUGGGGUCUGCAACUCGACCUCAUGAAGUCGGAGUCGCUAGUAAUCGCAGAUCAGCAACGCUGCGGUGAAUACGUUCCCGGG